rnacentral:lncRNA from 1 species
AACAAGUAGUGCGGGUAUUUGACUUCAAAUCUCUUUGCCCUCUAUAAAACUUGAGGCCCCUGCAAUGGGGGCCAGAAUUCACUCGACGUUUGGCCCGUGUGUCGUAAGAGGCGACUAAAGGGCUCCCAAUCUUAAGGUGUAAGCUACCGUUCCGAGAAGAUGAAUGGUGGAGGGACAGAAGUCUUGAACGGUGCCUGUCCAGAGCUUGGUCAACUCUUGGUGGAUGGAGGAAACUUCCGGGACCUUGUGUGGGUACAGGCUGGCCAUGCCCACAUCGACAUUUUCUACCUGCCAGUAUCAAACCUCACAUGGAUGAUAAAUUACUUAACAAUUCAAAAAAUCAAAAAAGUUAUCGGGCCCUCUAACUAAGAGAGCCUGCACCGAUGCCAAAGCAGGGAGUAAUAACGUAGCACCAUCUGGUGACAAACAUCCUACUUGCUUUGUAAUUGCUCACUCUGAAUCUGAUGUGCCGCUGGGGAAACUGUC